rnacentral:rRNA from 1 species
UGCAGUCGAGCGAAUGACGAGGAGCUUGCUCCUCUGAUUUAGCGGCGGACGGGUGAGUAACACGUGGGUAACCUGCCUGUAAGACGGGGAUAACUCCGGGAAACCGGAGCUAAUACCGGAUGAUAACGAGAAGCGCCUGCUUCUUUUUUGAAAGUCGGUUUCGGCUGACGCUUACAGAUGGGCCCGCGGCGCAUUAGCUAGUUGGUGAGGUAACGGCUCACCAAGGCGACGAUGCGUAGCCGACCUGAGAGGGUGAUCGGCCACACUGGGACUGAGACACGGCCCAGACUCCUACGGGAGGCAGCAGUAGGGAAUCUUCGGCAAUGGACGAAAGUCUGACCGAGCAACGCCGCGUGAGCGAUGAAGGCCUUCGGGUCGUAAAGCUCUGUUGUCAGAGAAGAACAAGUACCGGAGUAACUGCCGGUACCUUGACGGUACCUGACCAGAAAGCCACGGCUAACUACGUGCCAGCAGCCGCGGUAAUACGUAGGUGGCAAGCGUUAUCCGGAAUUAUUGGGCGUAAAGCGCGCGCAGGCGGUCUUUUAAGUCUGAUGUGAAAGCCCACGGCUCAACCGUGGAGGGUCAUUGGAAACUGGGGGACUUGAGUGCAGGAGAGAAAAGUGGAAUUCCACGU